rnacentral:tRNA from 1 species
CUAAAGAGGUAGGAAUGAACCUACACCCAAGAGAUCAAAACCCUUGGUACUU